rnacentral:lncRNA from 1 species
CGGAUGGUUGAGGAGCUUCAUCCAUCCCAGACCUCCCCUCCCCAUCAGUAUCAAAAAAAGGGAGAAGAUAGUGGAAACACCUCCCCCUGCCCCGUGUUUUCUUCUUUUUCCCCCCAAUCUCAGUAUCAGACCUACAUCAGUUCCCUCGCGUGGGCAUCCCAGGGGAGACCUUAGUCCCCCCCCUGCGGUGGCUGUCACUCCAUUAGUGAGGACCAGGCUCUCCCCAGACCUGUCUACUGGGAGACAGUUGGGGUAACCCUAUAGUGAGAUGGGGUGGGGUGCACUGAGACCCAAGGCCGGGCUGCGGGAGUCCAGGUUGCCUGCCUACUGCUAGCUCUCAGUAUCCCCUCAGUUCGGCCCGCCCAGGAUAAGUUUCGGGAAGCAACUACACAUUUUUUCACUGAGGGUCUAGUCACGCAGGGCGGACAGUCCAGGUGUGACCUGCCCUGGGCGUUAAAUCAACUGAGGCUGAGGAGCACUAGGAUUCUGAGCUGAGGAUCAAGUGGACAAAUUCGUGCUGCAAGGAGGACAGAAGACUCCUGUGGAUGACAUUUUACAAAGUAAGGAGCAUCCUGAUUGCUGAACACGUGGAGGUGCCUGCAGAGCGUCACCCCGGACGGCGCAUGGACUCCCACAAUGCCUUGCCCUGUGCUUCUCUUCAUCUAAAUUGUCUUUUGUAUCCUUUAUUAUAUACUUUAAAUAAACUAGCAAAUGGGC